AAAUGAUGAGCGUUUUGUUGUUUACCGUUGC
rnacentral:sRNA from 1 species